rnacentral:rRNA from 1 species
UGGGGAAUAUUGCACAAUGGGCGCAAGCCUGAUGCAGCCAUGCCGCGUGUAUGAAGAAGGCCUUCGGGUUGUAAAGUACUUUCAGUCGGGAGGAAGGUGUCAAGGUUAAUAACCUUGGCAAUUGACGUUACCGACAGAAGAAGCACCGGCUAACUCCGUGCCAGCAGCCGCGGUAAUACGGAGGGUGCAAGCGUUAAUCGGAAUUACUGGGCGUAAAGCGCACGCAGGCGGUUGAUUGAGUCAGAUGUGAAAUCCCCGGGCUUAACCCGGGAAUUGCAUCUGAUACUGGUCAGCUAGAGUCUUGUAGAGGGGGGUAGAAUUCCAUGUGUAGCGAUGAAAUGCGUAGAGAUCUGGAGGAAUACCGGUGGCGAAGGCGGCCCCCUGGACGAAGACUGACGCUCAGGUGCGAAAGCGUGGGGAGCAAACAGG